GACGAACGCUGGCGGCGUGCUUAACACAUGCAAGUCGAACGGAAAGGCCCCUUUGGGGGUACUCUAGUUGCGAACGGGUGCGUAACACGUUAGUAACCUGCCCUUUACUUCGGGAUAACUUCAGGAAACUGGGGCUAAUACCGGAUAGGAAUCCUUGCUGCAUGGUCGGGGUUGGAAACCUUCGGCGGUUUUGGAUGGACUCGCGGCUUAUCAGCUUGUUGGUGGGGUAGUGGCUUACCAAGGCUUUGACGGGUAGCCGGCCUGAGAGGGGGACCGGCCACAUUGGGACUGAGAUACGGCCCAGACUCCUACGGGAGGCAGCAGUGGGGAAUAUUGCACAAUGGGCGGAAGCGUGAUGAAGCAACGCCGCGUGCGGGAUGACGGCCUUCGGGUUGUAAACCGCUUUCAGCAGGGGCGAAGCUUUUGUGACGGUACCUGCAGAAGAAGCACCGGCUAACUACGUG
rnacentral:rRNA from 1 species